rnacentral:tRNA from 1 species
GUGGUAGCUCAGUGGCAGAGCACACCCUUGGUAAGGGUGAGGUCGAGAGUUCAAUCCUCUCUCAC